UCCAUCUCCCGCUUGGGGCUUCUCUGGACUCUCAUUUGCUGCAUCAACAAAUGAAGGUUCCCUGACUUGGCACCUCCUUAUGCUGAACAUCAGCAGACUCCAUACUGAGCAGGAUUUGGGAGUACAGCUGUUAAUACCAAUAAUUAUGUAACCGUACUCGUUGCCCUCUUAGAGCACACCGCAGAAAAAUAGAUUGAUAAAAGUGAACAAAAAUAUAAACAUCAUAUGUGGUAAUGGCUCCCAAGCAGAGAAUCUGAACCUUACAGCAGCCCCACCUAAGAUUUAUGAACAGGAAACCGGGAAGGGGAAUGACAUUUGAAGUUUUUUAUCAGGUGUGCUUCCUGGCCAAAGAAGUCAGAUGAGUGCAUGAGCAGCCCCUUUGAGGACAAGGCUUGGAUUCCCAGGAGCAGACAAGGAACUCUGUGGGCAUACUCCAAGGAAACUGGACCUCCUCUGUCACAGGAAAUCCACUGUUUAAGCACCACCACUACCUCAGGAAGUCCACUGUCUGUGUGUCAACUCCACUGUUACAGGACCACAAGUGUCUCAGCACUUCAACUAUCACAGCACUUCUACUGUUCAGGAUCUCAAGAGUCUCAGCAUCUCAAGUGUCACAGGACCUCCUUUGUCCAAGAACUGGACUGUCCAAGCAACACUACUAUUGCAGGACUUCCACUGUAGGAGCACUACAACUGUCUCAGGACACCCACUGUCCUAUAACCUCCACUAUCCCAGGAAUUCCACUGUCGUAGCACCACCCGUAGCAACUAAAGUGUUUCAGGACAUCAACUGAAGCAAGAUCUCCCAUGAUGCUGCAACUUCACUGCCACAGGAUCUCUACAGUGACAGGAAUACCCCUGUAUCAGCAAUUCCAAUUUUGCAGGACCUCCACUGUAGCAGAACCUUCAAUUGUGCAGCAGCUCCCCUGUAAGUAGAUUGACCACCACGAUCUCAGUGCCUCCACUUUCAAAGGACCUUCACUGUCACAGAACCGGCGCUAUUUCAGUGCCUCCACUGUCGCAGGACCUACCUCUUCACAGGAUCUGCACUGUUGCAGCAACUGUAAUUUCAAUUUUUCAAAGUCAUUGCUGGUUAUUAGAUUUGAGGCUGAAUGAAAUGUGAUGCUACUUUUGACAGCAUAAGAAUUUGUUCUAUAGCUCUUGUGAUAAAUGCCGUGUGUGCUAGGACCAGUAACCUAUGGAAGACUUCAUGAGCUCAUACCACUCUCCACCUCACUUUGUGGAAGCUGGUGUUUUUAGAGUGUGAUAAACUUCAGGUGAAUGGAUUCAUUCAGCUGCACCACGCUCUAUAGUGUGCUACACAGCAGUCAUAUUGAGUCCUUGCUGGGAAGAGAAGAAAUCCAGAAGAGGGAGAAGGCUUGGGUUGGGGGAAGAAUCAUAAAAUACUUAGAGGAUAUAAGAAGGUAAGAAUUAUGGGGAACUGGAAAACAGAGCCAGAGGAAGAAUGAGCACAGAGCAAACUGGGAAGGACAAAGUACAAAGGCACAUGGGUUUUGCCAUCUGCGUGUUCUCUGGACAAUCUCCCUUGGCCUCAUUUCUGGGAGAAAACUCUUCCUCCACCCCCUUGUAAUGUUUCAUUCUUGAAGGAAAGCAGCAACACAACUUCAUCAGUGAAUUUCCCCAUUGGAAUUGGUUCAUCCUUUAAUGCCUCUGGGAAAUCCCCAGCAGGGGAAUGUCCUGCUCUCUGCUGAGAGACAGCAGGAAAGUAGGUUGUCCUCUGUUUUCUCGUUGCUACAGCUCUUCUAAGUGUGGAUGAUUGUUGAGUGAAGACACAGGACACUUCUGGUGUGUAUGUAUGCUUUGUUCACUAUGGGUGUUGUCGGGAGUGUCCUGAAAAGAAGAAGGGCAUGCCCAAUGGCUCUUUGCUUCCUCUUUGACUAGCCUUAUGAUCAUAGAGAUACACUAGGCCAUUGGAAGAUGAGGAGAACAAUGUGUCUAUGUUGUGUUCACUUCUAUUCCUAUUUAGUCCUAGAGGGAAAUCAGCAAGGGUAGAGAAUGGGACCGUAACUGGACAAAGCUGCUGAGCCUGUGUUGUGAAGCAAUUCCUGUGUAUAACUUGCUGUUACAUUAAGCAAUAGGAUGCCAUGUUCUGUUUAUACCUUUUUGAUGCAAUGAAUCUAUAAUAUUUUACCUCAAACCUCAAUAUAUUACGUUUCUUCCUCUUUUGGAGUAUCUGGCAUGGGAGGGAUCACUUCUUCAUAAGGAUUUGUGAACCUCUUCUGGUUUUAUUGACCAGGGGUACAUCAUCACCUCUGAGACUGUCAGCCCAUAGUUUGGAUUGACUUUUAUUAAGAGGCUAAGCUGCCUCUUCUGACACCCCACAGUGAGCAGGGUACACACCUGCUACAACCUGUCUUCUGAACUGUUGUAUGACAACAGAGUCAAAUACAACAGUGAAAUAUAAGCCUACUCCUAAGAUCCAUAUAUUGUUGUUUUUUUUUUUUUUGCACCAUCAUAAAGUUGUCCUAGGAAGAGAUCAGG
ensembl:lncRNA